GACAGAGGUCCCGAGCGUUAGGCGGAAUCACUGGGCUUAAAGCGUGUGUAGGCGGAUCGUUAAGUGCCUUGUGAAAUCCCACGGCUCAACCGUGGAACUGCUUGGCAUACUGGCGGUCUUGAGCAACCUAGGGGCAAGCGGAACAAAUGGUGGAGCGGUGAAAUGCGUAGAUAUCAUUUGGAACGCCAAUGGUGAAAACAGUUCUGCUGGGGGUUUGCUGACGCUGAGACACGAAAGCCAGGGGAGCAAACGGG
rnacentral:rRNA from 1 species